rnacentral:piRNA from 1 species
UACCUCUUGUCAAACCAGGGAGAG